rnacentral:rRNA from 1 species
UACGGGGGGGGCAAGCGUUGUUCGGAAUUACUGGGCGUAAAGGGCUCGUAGGCGGCCAACUAAGUCAGACGUGAAAUCCCUCGGCUUAACCGGGGAACUGCGUCUGAUACUGGAUGGCUUUGAGAUUGGGAGAGGGAUGCGGAAUUCCAGGUGUAGCGGUGAAAUGCGUAGAUAUCUGGAGGAACACCGGUGGCGAAGGCGGCAUCCUGGACCAACACUGACGCUGAGGAGCGAAAGCCAGGGGAGCAAACGGG